rnacentral:rRNA from 1 species
GCAGUCGAGUGAUUUACUUCGGUAAAGAGCGGCGGACGGGUGAGUACCGUGUGGGUAACCUGCCCUAUACACACGGAUAACGUACCGAAAGGUACGCUAAUACGAGAUAACAUAUUUUUAUCGCAUGGUAAGAAUAUCAAAGCUCCGGCGGUAUAGGAUGGACCCGCGUCUGAUUAGCUAGUUGGUAAGGUAACGGCUUACCAAGGCGACGAUCAGUAGCCGACCUGAGAGGGUGAUCGGCCACAUUGGAACUGAGACACGGUCCAAACUCCUACGGGAGGCAGCAGUGGGGAAUAUUGCACAAUGGGCGAAAGCCUGAUGCAGCAACGCCGCGUGAGCGAUGAAGGCCUUCGGGUCGUAAAGCUCUGUCCUCAAGGAAGAUAAUGACGGUACUUGAGGAGGAAGCCCCGGCUAACUACGUGCCAGCAGCCGCGGUAAUACGUAGGGGGCUAGCGUUAUCCGGAAUUACUGGGCGUAAAGGGUGCGUAGGUGGUUUCUUAAGUCAGAGGUGAAAGGCUACGGCUCAACCGUAGUAAGCCUUUGAAACUGAGAAACUUGAGUGCAGGAGAGGAGAGUAGAAUUCCUAGUGUAGCGGUGAAAUGCGUAGAUAUUAGGAGGAAUACCAGUUGCGAAGGCGGCUCUCUGGACUGUAACUGACACUGAGGCACGAAAGCGUGGGGAGCAAACAGGAUUAGAUACCCUGGUAGUCCACGCCGUAAACGAUGAGUACUAGCUGUCGGAGGUUACCCCCUUCGGUGGC